GCUCUGGUGGUGGAAUUGGUAGACACGCUGUCUUGAGGGGGCAGUGGCGUGAGCCGUGCGAGUUCGAGUCUCGCCCAGAGCACCA
rnacentral:tRNA from 1 species